GGUUGUUGUAGCCUUAAGUGGGAGGAGGGGUGGACUUUUACUUUGAUGUCCGGCUGAGCGAAGUUAUGAAGUCUCGCACCAGUGGCAAACUAUCGUUUGAUCUCGUUAGCACCUGAGUCGCAGUUGGUACCAGGGCACACGGUUGUUGGCACGCCAAGUAAAACGCUGCCUUGAAUUCUGUUCGUAAAAUACCGAAGUUUGUUCCAGUCGCAAUUCGAAGUAUCAAAAUACUGAAAGCACUGAAGUUUGUUCCAGUCGCAAUCCGAAGUAUCAGUACUAAGCCUGCCGGCAUCUUGUAGUGGGCAUCCGAGGGAAGCCAGACAGACGCCAGCCGUGUGCCUUGAGAGAAGCGUGGCCAGGUGCGAGCCGCACCAACGGGGAAGAGGGGCCUUGAACAGAAGCUAGCGUUUGCCUCGUGCAUCGUACAACAGGUAGGCUACAAGCCUGUAAUAUUUGAAUGUGUCUGCCUUACUCUGCUGGUUUACACGCUGCACAUUGUGCAUUCCAUUCAUAGUAUUUUUGUUGUGUUUUAGGACCGGCACCAACAGAGA